rnacentral:rRNA from 1 species
CAGCCGCCACGGUAAUACGUAGGUCCCGAGCAUUGUCCGGAUUUAUUGGGCGUAAAGCGAGCGCAGGCGGUUAGAUAAGUCUGAAGUUAAAGGCUGUGGCUUAACCAUAGUACGCCUUGGAAACUGUUUAACUUGAGUGCAAGAGGGGAGAGUGGAAUUCCAUGUGUAGCGGUGAAAUGCGUAGAUAUAUGGAGGAACACCGGUGGCGAAAGCGGCUCUCUGGCUUGUAACUGACGCUGAGGCUCGAAAGCGUGGGGAGCAAACAGGAUUAGAUACCCCUGUAGUCCCUGUCUCUUAUACC